rnacentral:piRNA from 13 species
GCCCGGCUAGCUCAGUCGGUAGAGCAUGAGA